GACGUAGGGCGCGAGCGUUGUCCGGAUUUAUUGGGCGUAAAGAGCUCGUAGGCGGCUUGUUGCGUCGACUGUGAAAACCUGCGGCUCAACCGUGUGGUCUGCAGUCGAUACGGGCAGGCUGGAGUUCGGUAGGGGAGACUGGAAUUCCUGGUGUAGCGGUGAAAUGCGCAGAUAUCAGGAGGAACACCGGUGGCGAAGGCGGUUCUCUGGGACGGUACUGACGCUGAGACGCGAAAGCGUGGGGAGCGAACAGGAUUAGAACUACGUAGUCA
rnacentral:rRNA from 1 species